rnacentral:rRNA from 1 species
UACGAAGGGGGCUAGCGUUGUUCGGAAUUACUGGGCGUAAAGCGCACGUAGGUGGAUAUUUAAGUUAGGGGUGAAAUCCCAGGGCUCAACCCUGGAACUGCCUUUAAUACUGGGUAUCUCGAGUCCGAGAGAGGUGAGUGGAAUUCCGAGUGUAGAGGUGAAAUUCGUAGAUAUUCGGAGGAACACCAGUGGCGAAGGCGGCUCACUGGCUCGGUACUGACGCUGAGGUGCGAAAGCGUGGGAGCAACAGGG